ACGUCUUUUUCCUCUCUGCACCCUUUCAGAGACGAAAACAAAAAGAAGAAAAAGGUGUGAAAAAGCAUCAACUGAUUCUCUUGUUGUUUUCUUUUUUUUAUUCGUGUCUGUGUGUAUGCUCAGCCCUCCUCCUCUGCUGUUUUUCUUUUUUCGUACAUCCGCACAGACGCUUGAGUUUACAUUGAUGGCACUACAUUCGCCCAAGUCUAUCUUGCUUUCUUCUCGCGUGCUUGAUUUCUUUCCUGGUCUCACCGAAUGUGAAGCAAGGGUGGUGGAGCGAAGGAAACGUCUACACAAAUAGGUGCAAACAAGCGAGAUAGUGACAGGGCUGGAUGGGCCACCAUGUCGAUUGCCUUUGUAGGAGUUUCUGCGGUGCCGCCCUUGGAGAGGCAGAAGCAGAGGCUGGCAAACAUGGACCCCUCUGUGUACGCGGUCUUCGAGGAGUGCCGGUACAAAAGUCUGCUUGCCAUCUGCCAUCUGGCCCGAAUCAUAGAUGCUGCCAUGCGUGGGCUUGACGAAUCGACACAAGUGCCCGCUUCACAGCCGUGCGAAGACACAAGCCACCACGAUUGUGCCCUUCGGAGCGCAGCGAAUGCAGACAGGGAGGAGCCUGUCGGACGUCCAAUAGCGGAUCCCACCAUCAGCCGUGGUAGCAAUGAAGAUCUACCCCUCUUCAUACCUUUGAUGGACGACAAUUCGGACGUCUCAUUCUGCUCCAUGUUGCACGUAGAGGCGGAGAGUAGCUCCAACGCAAGUGGUCUGGGGUACUUGUCCGAGAACGCCGCGAAGGAGCGAAGCAAGCAGAGCACAGACAUGAAAGCCACCUCUCACGCCGCUCUCGGAAACAGGGAGCGUGACGUUGCCCUUUUUCCCCACCUCAACGGCCACUGGGAAUGCGGCAUCUUUGGCGGGAAACGGGUGUACAUCGAUACUGGUGGCUUGUACCUCGGCCGCGGUGCGACCGCGUUGGUUUACGAGGGGUGGAUGGUUGUCACGGACGCGAUGGACGGCAGCGAGGUGUGCCUCGCCAAGGUUCCGGUCGCAAUCAAGGAGGUCACUUACAAUGCGAAAGAUAGAAGGCUGCACGACUUGUACGAGCUGGCGGUGAAUCUGCGCUUGAAUAUGGUGCAUCCUGGAAUAGUGCACAGCUACUACGCAGGCACGUACAUGCCACGCCUAGCUGGCUUCCGCAGUGCAGAGAAGGCGAUGGUGUACGCGCACCUAGUGUUGGCGCGCAGUGUCACAGGGAGUGUUGCAGAUGUGCUGAAGCGCAGUGGUCCAUUUCCAGAGUCGGAAAUCAAGCGGUGCAUGGCGGAGAUAUUGUCGGCGCUCCAGUGCAUUCACGAGGACCACAACUGCGUUCACAACGACGUAAAACCGCACAACAUUCUCAUCUUCGACGACUCUAGUGCCUACUACGCUGAGUUCAAGUAUCAAAUCAUUGACUUGACCGAUAUUGCCCCGGCUACACCCAUCGAAGACGUUCUGCGGGAUCUUGCCGCCGAAAGGAAACAGCAACAGAAUAUUUUCUCGGAGAGGGGUACGGUUAUGUACAUGUCCCCAGAGAGCUGCCUGGGGCUGGGGACACUGACAAGCAACGAUGUAUGGUCGCUCGGCAUCACGGCGUUCCACAUGGCAACGGGAACGUUGCCUUGGAGGCCACUGGAGCGGCAGUAUCCCAGUAUGAUCCUGAACGGGUACCGUCGAAAGUUCACAUUGCGGAGUCUAGUUGACAUGCAUGUCAACGACGCAUUUGGAGCUUCUGGUUCUUGUUACCCGACUGGAACGGACAACCCUCUGCAUGCUGACAGCGACGGUAAGCCGCGUGCCAGAUUUCACGCCAGCAGUGCACCUGGCUCGAGGGCCACCGGUGGGGCCAGUUGCACAAGCCAAGUGUUCCGCGACCAGUACAAGGGCUUUGGGCCAAUCCUUGACAUGCUGGACGAGGUGAGCGUCUCAAGUGAAUUCCGUAGCUUUUUGGAGCAGUGUCUCACUGAGAACCCAGUCAAGCGCCCAACAUGCCGCCAACUGAGAAGCCAUCCAUUUGUGAAGGACGUGACGGUGGCGUCGCAACACUGACGUCUUCCCAUGGCUGUGCACGCGCACUGCCGUUGAGCAUUUCCCUUUUCUUUUUCUCUUUUCCUUUGCAGGCCCUCUUUGCUCUAUAUUCGUUUUUCAUUUUUUUAAUUGUUUCUCAAAGGUACUGUCCUCUCUGAGUCUUUCUUCAUCCCCCCACGUCGCCGCGCCACUCAUCUCUGCCGUUUCCCGUCUCCAAUGGUGAGCCGACGCGCACGUAUCUCUCGUUUUGGAGGUUAACUGCCCUCGUAGAGUUAUACAAGGGAGAGCAAAGGGUGCGAGGGACGUGAGUGACACUGAUUGCUCACCCCGCGUCGGCCGCGCAGAUGGCGCACUGAGGUUAUCUGUUGGGCUCGCUCGGCGGCUUGUACGGCCGUGGAGUACCGCUGAUGAUUGUCAGUCUCCGAGUGCGCAACAGCCAUUUGAGCUGACUGGCAACGUGGUUAAAACGGGAGUGGGGUGCCGCUCGUUGCUAGUCCUUUACGACUGCACCUGCGGUACCUCUUUUUCAUUUCCUUUCUAGCGGUGGGCAUGAAUGCUCUGCAAUUAUACUCGUCGCAGAUAUGAUUUCUUAAAAGGGAGAAGCAAUGAAGUUUUGGACAGCCAAAAUCGGUUGCGUGCGUGGCUUGUGCGACAUUUAGAGGGGGAUGCAGCGAAAAGGGGGAGAGGAUUGAAGUCAAUGCACCCACUUGCGCCGGUCAUUUGUUUUUUUUAUUGUUUGGCUUUGCUUAUGCGUGUGUGUAUUCUUCAUCCGCGCCUCACUAUUCCCCCUUCCCUCAACGCAUGAACUUUAUAACCUGCUCGUUUUUCUUCUCGUCUUUUUUCGUGUGCGCCCUAAUGCUGGGGGGGGGGUAUCUCCGUGCGUGGCAUCUCAGGGUCCACCGCGCACCUUCUCUUUUGGGAGGCCGAGCAGCCCCCCCUCCCCCUUCCCUCUCGCUCUAUCCUUGCCAGUGCUGAACAGCCCCUGGUGGUGACAGGGCCAAGCAUCUAUGGCGUAGGGGUGGCCAGAGCGAUGUAUCCCCACGGAUGCCGGCGGCCGGGCCCUGGAUGGCGCUGCGUCGGGGCGGCCUGCGACCGUGCACGCGCCCGUGCCGUCCAUGUGAUGGGCGGUGUGUGUGCGCGACCCGAGCGUAUCCCACGCCCGGCCCUCACGCUGCCUACUGGUGGGUGGGCCCGGGUGCCGCCGCGAGGGAUGCACGACGUGGCGACCCGCCUGCUGUGCGCGGCUGCGAGGCGACCUGCGGGGCGGGAGGUGGGCAGUGCUUCGAUGACUGAGUCGGCGCAUUGCUGCGCCGCGUGUCUGGCGCUGCUUCGCACCGCGCGAUGGGGGCGUGUGGCCGGCCGGGUGUGGAGUGGGGAGUGUAAGUCGUGUUGUACGGCAGAGAAACGCACACGCAAAAGAAAAAUCUCUUCGUGUGCGUGUGCGUCACCGG
rnacentral:misc_RNA from 1 species